CCUACGGGGUGCAGCAGUGAGGAAUAUUGGUCAAUGGGCGGAAGCCUGAACCAGCCAAGUAGCGUGCGGGAUGAAGGCCCUACGGGUCGUAAACCGCUUCUGCACGGGGAUAACACCCUCCACUUGUGGAGGUCUGCAGGUACCGUGCGAAUACGGGCCGGCGAAUUCCUGGCCAGAAGCCGCGGUAAUACGGAAGGCCCGAUCGUUAUCCGGAUUCAUUGGGCUUAAAGGGAGCGUAGGCGGGCGUUCACGUCAGCUGUAAAAUCGCGCGGCUCAACCGCGCACCGCAGUUGAAACUGGACGGCUUGAGUUCACAACAGGCAGGCGGAAUUCGUGGUGUAGCGGUGAAAUGCAUAGAUAUCACGAGGAACCCCGAUGGCGAAGGCAGCCUGCCGGGGUGCGACUGACGCGGAGGCUCGAAGGUGCGGGUAUCAAACAGGAUUAGAUACCCUUGUAGUC
rnacentral:rRNA from 1 species